UACUUGGUUGAUCUUGCCAAUAGUCAUAUGCUUAUCUCAAAGAUUAAGCCAUGCACGUGUAAGUAUAAAUUAAUUAUGACUGUGAAACUGCGAAUGGCUCAUUAAAUCAGUUAUAGUUUGUUUGAUGGUAUUUGCUACUUGGAUAACCGUAGUAAUUUUAGAGCUAAUAUGUGCAACAAACCCCGACUUUUGGAAGGGAUGCAUUUAUUAGAUAAAAGGUCGACGCAGGCUUUGCCCAUUACUUUGAUGAUUCAUGAUAAUUUGACAGAUCACAUGGCCAUCGUGCCGACGACACAUCAUUCAAAUUUCUGCCCUAUCAACUUUCAAUGGUAGGAUAGUGGCCUACUAUGUUGGUGACGGGUGAUGAAGAAUUAGGAUUCGAUUCUGAAAAGGGAGCCUGAGAAACGGCUACCACAUCCAAGGAAGGCAGUAGGCGCGCAAAUUACCCAAUCCUAGCAUGGGGAGGUAGUGAUAAUAAAUAACAAUAUUGGGCUCUUUGAGUUUGGUAAUUGAAAUGAGUACAAUCUAAAUCUUUUAACAAGGAUCCAUUGGAGGGCAAGUCUGGUGCCAGCAACCGUGGUAAUUCCAGCUCCAAUAGCGUAUAUUUAAGUUGUUGCAGUUUAAAAGCUUGUAAUUAGACUUUGGAUUGGGUCGAUUGGUCCGCCUCACGAUGUGCACCAAUUGGCUCGUCCCUUCUACUAACAAUACGCUCCUGGCCUUAACUGGCCGGGUCAUGCCUCCGGUGCUGUUACUUUGAAGAAAUUAGAGUGCUCAAAGCAAGCCUACGCUCUAUAUACAUUAGCAUGUGAUAACAUCAUAGGAUUCUGGUCUUAUUGUGUUGGCCUUCGGGAUCGGAGUAAUGAUUAACAGAGACAGUUGGGGGCAUUCGUAUUUCAUAGUUAGAGGUGAAAUUCUUGGAUUUAUGAAAGACGAACAAUUGCGAAAGUGACAUUUCGGACCACUCGCCCAUGAUUGUUAAAAUUAUGCCUGUCCCCAAGUCCUCUAAGCCUUUUAAGUUUUUCAAUUUCUGGAUGGAUCACCC
rnacentral:rRNA from 1 species